CCUGGCGGGCCGGAUACGGCCCACGGGCCGUAUGUUUGACACUCCUGCCUUACGGCCUGAAGGAAUGCUGUCUGGUUUGUGUGUGGAAAUUAUUGAAAUUUCUCCUUUCAUACGUCCUGUUUAUAUGUUUUGAUCUGUGGUAAUAAAGUCAUAUCUGACAAUACUGGAGGAACCUUUUCCCUCCAAUGUUGGACAGUUGUUUUUUUUGCAAAAGCAUCAACCGGCAAAACCUGUUGAUCUUUAUCUGUACUUGAGCUUUGCAUUACAUUAGAUCUUCUCUAUUUUGUGAGGCUUUCUAACUUGAAACAUGUUUUUUCAUAAUCCCAAAUCCUUUAGUUGUUAAUGUAAUAAAAAUGCAUUUUUUAAUGUAUUUAUCCAUUCAUCCAUCCAUUUUCUUAAUCUGUUUGAUUCCUGUCGAGGUCACGGAGUUGCCAGACACUAACCUGGCUACUGUUGGACAAGUUGCCAGUCUGAUGCCGAGCCACACAAUCACACACCCAUUCAAAAUUCAACUUUAGAGUAAUCAGUCAACCUAUGACGCACGUCUUUGGACUGUGGGAGGAAGCCAGAGUACCUGGGGAAAACCUAUGCAUUCCCGGGGAGAACAUGCAAACUCCACGCAGAAGGAAAAUCUCCCACUGAUCUCCUCAACUUCCUUCAUCAGAAAAAUCUAAGUGAAUCAUGAAGCAGUAUUCCAGAUUGAUGUGUUUGGCGCUGACCGUCCCCGUGUCCACUGCGUCUGUCCAGCGGACAUUUUUUCGUCUCUAAAGUGAAUUCAAACCUACGCAGAAACACAACCGGACAGACUGGGCUCUCAGGACUGGCCUUGAUGGAAUAGAAAGGACUUCUGGAUGGAACUGAAGCGAUAAUCUACAUGACAAGGUGAUGGACUGUUUUUGAGGAAAGAGAGGAGGAUGGAUUAUGUCUUCAAAUAUUCCUAUUUUUUGAUGUGUGAAAUGAUACAUUCCAUAAUAAAUAAUAUUCCAAAUGUA